CCUACGGGUGGCAGCAGUGGGGGAUAUUGCACAAUGGGGGGAACCCUGAUGCAGCGACGCCGCGUGGGUGAAGAAGGGCCUCGGCGCGUAAAGCCCUGGCAGCAGGGAAGAAAAGGACGGUACCGGAAGAAGAAGCCCCGGCGAACGACGUGCCAGCAGCCGCGGUAAUACGGAGGGGGCAAGCGUUAUCCGGAUUUACGGGGUGUCAAGGGGGCGCAGACGGCGAUGCAAGCCAGGAGUGAAAGCCCGGGGCCCCACCCCGGGACUGCUCUUGGAACUGCGUGGCUGGAGUGCAGGAGGGGCAGGCGGCAUUCCUGGUGUAGCGGUGACAUGCGUAGAUAUCAGGAGGAACACCAGUGGCGAAGGCGGCCUGCUGGCCUGCAACUGACGUUGAGGCCCG
rnacentral:rRNA from 1 species